GGGCGGGUAGUUCAGAGAAAGAACACCUCGCCAUAAACGAGGAGGUCGGAGGUUCAAGUCCUUCCUCGUCCGCCA
rnacentral:tRNA from 1 species